rnacentral:rRNA from 1 species
GACGAACGCUGGCGGCGUGCUUAACACAUGCAAGUCGAACGAAGAGCGAUGGAAGCUUGCUUCUAUCAAUCUUAGUGGCGAACGGGUGAGUAACGAGUAAUCCACCUGCCCUUCAGAGGGGGACAACAGUUGGAACCGACUGCUAAUACCACAUACGAUCCCAUCUCGACAUCGAGGAAAGAUAAACGGUGCCCUCUACCUGUAAGCUAUCACUGAAGGUGGGGAUUGCGUCUGAUUAGGUAGUUGGACGGGUAACGGCCUACCAAGGCGAUGAUCAGUAGCCGGUCUGAGAGGAUGAACGGCCACACUGGGACUGAGACACGGCCCAGACUCCUACGGGAGGCAGCAGUGGGGAAUCUUCCGCAAUGGACGAAAGUCUGACGGAGCAACGCCGCGUGAGUGAUGACGGCCUUCGGGUUGUAAAGCUCUGUUAAUAGGGACGAAAGGCCUUCUUGCUAAUAGUGAGAAGGAGUGACGGUACCGUAAAAGAAAGCCACGGCUAACUACGUG